rnacentral:rRNA from 1 species
AUGCUCAAUUGUUGGUGCAAGUUGAAUGGGCAAAGCAAGUGGAGCCACACUGCUAAUUCCAUCAAACCACUGACGUCGGAGGGGAUGAAGUUGAUUAGUUGGACAAGGAAGACCGCGAAGAAGCGAGAAGAGGCGGCAUCCAAGAUGAUGGACAAGUUCAAGGACAUCAUGAAGGAGGAGGAGACAUAUCUCAAAUGCAACGACCUUAAGAAGAGAAAAAAAGGCGGAGAAAAUUAUGCAAUCAUGGAAAUACUAAAGAAGAAGAUGGAGCUUGAGGAGAGGAAGCUUGCGGUCAAACAAACAUGCGAGGACCAAAUUUUCUUGUACGUGAAAGCCGGCAACUUGGAUCCUGAUGUGGUAAAGUUUGUUCAUGAAUCGUCUGGCGGCAUCUACGCACACUAUGCACAAAAGGGAGGUGGAAAAGAGGCCAAAAAUUGA